AUUGAACGCUGGCGGCAGGCCUAACACAUGCAAGUCGAACGAGUGGCGGACGGGUGAGUAAUGUCUGGGAAACUGCCUGAUGGAGGGGGAUAACUACUGGAAACGGUAGCUAAUACCGCAUACCAUCGGAUGUGCCCAGAUGGGCGUAGCUAGUAGGGGGGGUAACGGCUCACCUAGGCGACGAUCCAUAGCUGGUCUGAGAGGAUGACCAGUCACACGGGAACUGAGACACGGUCCAGACUCCUACGGGAGGCAGCAGUGGGGAACAUUGCACAAGGGGCGGAAGCCUGAUGCAGCCAGUCCGCGUGUAUGAAUAGGGCCGUCGGGUUGUAAAGUACUUUCAGCGGGGAGGCGUUACCCGCAGAAGAAGCACCGGCUAACUCCGUGCCAGCAGCCGCGGUAAUAC
rnacentral:rRNA from 1 species